rnacentral:rRNA from 1 species
CAGGGAUUGCCCUAGUAACGGCGAGUGAAGCGGCAACAGCUCAAAUUUGAAAUCUGGCUCUCUUUGGGGGUCCGAGUUGUAAUUUGCAGAGGGUGCUUUGGCAUCGGCGGCGGUCUAAGUUCCUUGGAACAGGACAUCGCAGAGGGUGAGAAUCCCGUACGUGGGCGCCUGCCUUUGCCGUGUAAAGCCCCUUCGACGAGUCGAGUUGUUUGGGAAUGCAGCUCUAAAUGGGAGGUAAAUUUCUUCUAAAGCUAAAUACCGGCCAGAGACCGAUAGCGCACAAGUAGAGUGAUCGAAAGAUGAAAAGUACUUUGGAAAGAGAGUCAAAUAGCACGUGAAAUUGUUGAAAGGGAAGCGCUUGCAGCCAGACGUGCCCGCAGUUGCUCACCCAGGCUCCGGCCUGGGGCACUCUUCUGCGGGCAGGCCAGCAUCAGUUUGGGCGGUUGGAUAAAGGCCUCUGUCACGUAUCUCCCUUCGGGGUGACCUUAUAGGGGAGGCGUAAUGCAACCAGCCCGGACUGAGGUCCGCGCAUCUGCUAGGAUGCUGGCGUAAUGGCUGUAAGCGGCCCGUCUUGAAACACGGACCAAGGAGUCUAACAUCUAUGCGAGUGUUUGGGUGUCAAGCCCGGGCGCGUAAUGAAAGUGAACGGAGGUGGGAACCCUUUGGGUGCACCAUCGACCGAUCCUGAUGUCUUCGGAUGGAUUUGAGUAAGAGCAUAGCUGUUGGGACCCGAAAGAUGGUGAACUAUGCUUGAAUAGGGUGAAGCCAGAGGAAACUCUGGUGGAGGCUCGCAGCGGUUCUGACGUGCAAAUCGAUCGUCAAAUUUGGGCAUAGGGGCGAAAGACUAAUCGAACCAU